GGGGACUUAGCUCAGCUGGUAGAGCGCCGCCUUUGCAAGGCGGAUGUCAGGGGUUCGAAUCCCCUAGUCUCCACAA
rnacentral:tRNA from 1 species